GGAGAGAAACCAACUUUUAUAUUCAAGAACCAGAAGAUCAAUUUUACAUUCCUCUUUAAUAUUCCACGUAUUAAAAGAAUCUAAGUUAUUAACGCAUGAAGAUCAUCGCUCGGCUCUUGUUAUCUACUUUGUAGAAUCGAUGAAUUUAAUAAGACCGAUGGCGAGAGAGGAGGGGGACGGGGGAACACAAAGAUGCAGCGAGUGAGAAUCGAUGCGGUAGAGCAACAGCGCGCAAUACCAAUACAAGCGGAAAGAGUGGGAAAAAGACAAAUCGGAGAGAAGUAUCGCUUUUGUUACCGAUAACCUUUGUCUUUCUUUCUCUUUCUCUCUUUCUCUUUCCCUCCCUCCCUCCCUCCCUCCCUUUUCCCAUAACUGUACUUUAUUAUCCUAUUUGUUCUGUAUCGCGUUUCCGCGCUAUUUCACGCGUCAUUAAACGUUGAUUCUCAACGCGAGAUCGUGAGUCAGGAGCUUGUGUUUUGUUCGUGUUUAACGGAUACCCCCUAAAACGAUACCGCCGCUAUAAAAUUCCUUCGGGCUCGAUGCUGAACGAGGAAAGAGCGACGGUAAUAAUAGUAUAGUAAUUGCAGCGACAAAAGAGCAGUGAUUCAUCGUGCAACGUGCCGGGAAUAUGGGGUCUCCUAUAUUGCCAUUUGGAGCGACUAACGCGCGCGCUGCCCUGUCAUAAGACAGGCGUUUGCGGCCAAAUCGGCUCUCUCUUACAUAAUGAAUUCUCGUUACAACAGAGCCGCGCGGCUCUAUGACGGCGCAUAAUCGAGAGGAGCGCGCGAGUUUACGUAGCGUCUCAGAACCAGUUGGCGUCCUUCCUUAACCUUCCGUCGAGCGCAACUGACACGUUUUACAUGUUACAUUCCCUAGUAGCGCGCGUGUUGGUUUUACAUACAUUUUCUAAACGUAUUCUAACGUUUUAUAAUCGUUUGUAAAACGCCUCGGAAACAUUUCUAAACAGCACAUGCUACCUAGAUUAUUAAUAAAUAUCUCUCUCUAAGGCUGAUAAGAGCCGAUCGGAUGCAGAAGUUCCUAACUGACGCAAUAUCUUUUUUCUUUUUAUUCAACACAUACAGAAAUAUAAAAGGUUGUAUAACUUGUUAAUUGGACAACAUAUGGAGGAAGUUUUCCUCUGAUCGAUAACAUUAGAAGCGAAUAAACGCAUGCCCAAAGUUCUUGCGUACCAUGUUGAAAUAAAAAGAUAUUUGUGUGAAAAAAUACUUCAGGUCGCUAGAACAUACUUGUAAAAUCCUUCGAACACUAUGCUUAAACCUUGAAAGUCGUAACAUGAUCGUAAUAUGAGAUUGGUCAUAUGGGAUGAUUGCGCAUGCGCAGAUUAGGUCUCACAUUACAAUCAUAUUUUAUGGCCGUUGAUUGGUUGUCAAGGGAGAAGCAUGUCCGGAGCAUUUUACAAGUACAUUCUAGCGACCUGAGGUAUUCUUUUAUGCAUAUUUCUUUUUAUUUGGAGAUGGCACGCAAGAAUUUUCAGCGUGUCAUUUCUCGGCUAUGUGGCGUCACAAUCAAAUAUGGUCGCGACGAGCACUCAGGGGCUUAAUAUUUACAACACAUUCUACGUUUAACAGGAAGAUAAUGAAUCUCUUAAUAAUUAUUAAAGAACAAAUUCUCCUGUUGGCUACUAGAUGCAGCACGAAACUCAUUGAAACAACAUAAUGUUACAGCCAACUAUACAAAAAGAAAAAAACCAACGCGAAUAAAAGGAAAGACGACGUUCUCCCUGAGUGAAUUCAAGAAAUCGAAUCGAGAUCUGAAAAUUUCGUGGACUCGAUUACGUAAAAUGGAAAAAUUUUGACGGAAUCGACGUGAGGAUUUGUUUCUUUUCAUCUAUUGAGACUACUGUAUGCCUUUCUAAUUUAGCUCCUUUGUUGUAAUUACACGCUUGACAAAAAAUUAAUUCUCAUAAGAAGUUUCGAGUUAUUGUCUAUUAGCGAUCGUCAUAACCAAAACAAUGGUCAUCGUCGCUUAAUUGGACCGUAUCGUCGGAUGUGAUCGAAUAAGGAGGGUCCGCAGGAUUUUGGAUACGUUUCAAGAGCAUGGCGACACACUUGCGAAAUAGAUCAAAGAGACUGACGAAAUCUGCAAUAAACAGUCUGCGCCACGUGCGUGGGCUCGAGGAAGGACGCAUUCGAAGGAAAAGGCGGGACGAACGAAAACGAACGAAAACGCGACGGACGAUGUUUUUCACGAGUGAAUUCAAAAAAUUGAAGCGAUCUAAAAGUCCCGGAAAUUUCGAAAGAGUCCAACGCGUUGUCCGCGGCGUUGAAACUGGCUCGAUGGUGCAAACACGAUGAAUCGAUCGGAACACUACCGGUUGAAUUGCCGGGCGAGAACGAACAGUUUUUUCGCAAGUGACGGUUUCCCUGGUAAACAUCCCGUGGCUGUUGCAAGAUGAGGCGUAGGCGACGCGGCGUUACGAACGCCCCGAGGCCGUUGUUGGAACGGCCGGAAUGUUAAACUUGAC